CGCGGCCUAUCAGCUUGUUGGUGGGGUAAUGGCCUACCAAGGCGACGACGGGUAGCCGGCCUGAGAGGGCGACCGGCCACGCUGGGACUGAGACACGGCCCAGACUCCUACGGGAGGCAGCAGUGGGGAAUAUUGCACAAUGGGCGCAAGCCUAAUGCAGCAACGCCGCGUGCGGGAAGAAGGCCCUAGGGUUGUAAACCGCUUUCAGCAGGGAAGAAAAUGACGGUACCUGCAGAAGAAGGUGCGGCCAACUACGUGCCAGCAGCCGCGGUGACACGUAGGCACCAAGCGUUGUCCGGAAUCAUUGGGCGUAAAGAGCUCGUAGGCGGUUUGGUAAGUCGGAUGUGAAAUCUCCACGCUCAACGUGGAGCGGCCAUUCGAUACUGCCAUGACUUGAGUCCGGUAGAGGAGUGCGGAAUUCCAAGUGUAGCGGUGAAAUGCGCAGAUAUUUGGAGGAACACCAGUAGCGAAGGCGACACUCUGGGCCGGUACUGACGCUGAGGAGCGAAAGCGUGGGGAGCGAACAGGAUUAGAUACCCUGGUAGUCCACGCCGUAAACGUUGGGCACUAGGUGUGGGGCUCUAUCGACGAGCUCCGUGCCGUAGCUAACGCAUUAAGUGCCCCGCCUGGGGAGUACGG
rnacentral:rRNA from 1 species